GACGGGGGAGUAACACGUAGGGUAACCUGGCCCAUAAGACUGGGAUAACUCCGGGAAACCGGGGCUAAUACCGGAUAACAUUUUGAACCGCAGGGUUCGAAAUUGAAAGGCGGCUUCGGCUGUCACUUAUGGAUGGACCCGCGUCGCAUUAGCUAGUUGGUGAGGUAACGGCUCACCAAGGCAACGAUGCGUAGCCAACCUGAGAGGGUGAUCGGCCACACUGGGACUGAGACACGGCCCAAACUCCUACGGGAGGCAGCAGUAGGGAAUCUUCCGCAAUGGACGAAAGUCUGACGGAGCACCGCCGCGUGAGUGAUGAAGGCUUUCGGGUCGUAAAACUCUGUUGUUAGGGAAGAACAAGUGCUAGUUGAAUAAGCUGGCACCUUGACGGUACCUAACCAGAAAGCCACGGCUAACUACGUGCCAGCAGCCGCGGUAAUACGUAGGUGGCAAGCGUUAUCCGGAAUUAUUGGGCGUAAAGCGCGCGCAGGUGGUUUCUUAAGUCUGAUGUGAAAGCCCACGGCUCACCCGUGGAGGGUCAUUGGAAACUGGGAGACUUGAGUGCAGAAGGGAAAGUGGAAUUCCAUGUGUAGCGGUGAAAUGCGUAGAGAUAUGGAGGAACACCAGUGGCGAAGGCGACUUUCUGGUCUGUAACUGACACUGAGGCGCGAAAGCGUGGGGAGCAAACAGGAUUAGAUACCCUGGUAGUCCACGCCGUAACGAUGAGUGCUAAGUGUUAGAGGGUUUCCGCCCUUUAGUGCUGAAGUUAAC
rnacentral:rRNA from 1 species